rnacentral:rRNA from 1 species
UGGGGAAUUUUGGACAAUGGGCGAAAGCCUGAUCCAGCAAUGCCGCGUGUGUGAAGAAGGCCUUCGGGUUGUAAAGCACUUUUGUCCGGAAAGAAAUCCUUGGCUCUAAUACAGUCGGGGGAUGACGGUACCGGAAGAAUAAGCACCGGCUAACUACGUGCCAGCAGCCGCGGUAAUACGUAGGGUGCAAGCGUUAAUCGGAAUUACUGGGCGUAAAGCGUGCGCAGGCGGUUUGCUAAGACCGAUGUGAAAUCCCCGGGCUCAACCUGGGAACUGCAUUGGUGACUGGCAGGCUAGAGUAUGGCAGAGGGGGGUAGAAUUCCACGUGUAGCAGUGAAAUGCGUAGAGAUGUGGAGGAAUACCGAUGGCGAAGGCAGCCCCCUGGGCCAAUACUGACGCUCAUGCACGAAAGCGUGGGGAGCAAACAGGAUUAGAUACCCUGGUAGUCCACGCCCUAAACGAUGUCAACUAGUUGUUGGGGGAUUCAUUUCCUUAGUAACGUAGCUAACGCGUGAAGUUGACCGCCUGGGGAGUACGGUCGCAAGAUUAAAACUCAAAUGAAUUGACGGGGUCAUAGCUG